rnacentral:tRNA from 1 species
GGCCUGUGGCUCAGUUGGUAGAGUACUUGCCUAGCACAGGAGGCACUGGGUUCAAUCCUCAGCACCA